GUUGUACUAGUACAGACUACUAGUACAUGUACUACUACUAUUAGUAUAUGUAGUACUCGUACUACUCGUAGUAGUACAAGUACUACUAGUACAACUC
rnacentral:tRNA from 1 species